GGGUCCUGGGUGGGUGGCGCGGUCGCUGCCUGCAGUCCGAACUCCCGGGGUAGGGCUCCGGCGAUUGCGGGCGGGCGGCGGCCCGCAGCUCCCGCGCUGGGCUCUCGAAGGCCCUGGGUUCAGGUCCUCCCGGACCCACGUGUGGGCAUAUGCGUGUGCUUUCUUGCACCAACAACAGCCCACCUGAGGGACGUUGGCCAGGACGGGGAGCAAUGGAUGUCAAACAUGGUUGAGAGCGAGGAGAGAUGAGCCGGGCGUGAGUGACAGCUGUCGGCGCGCGUUUGAAGGGCCGCUCGGUGGAGAGCGAGCAGAUUUCCCGGUGGGGCCGCAGAGGCCUGGCCGCGCGCGGGUGGAAGUGGCGGGCGGGGGAAGAACUUUGUGACCGUGGGAGCUGCCCAGCAGUUUCUUUCCCGGCCGUGCGUCCUUGCUUAGUGCUCGCUGUGCCUGGAGAGCGCACCGGCGGCGCUCGGCGUCCUGGACCGAACCGGUGUUCCGAGAGGGCUCCCAGGGCUCUUUCCUGGGCAGCUGGAUCGACUUCUCAGCCCUGAGAGCGCCUUGGAGGAAAACCUCCCCCCGGCGCGCUCAGCCUGUUACUGCACCUGUUACAGCGUGCGAUCCUUAUCUCUUGACUACACGGCAAGACUGUGUAGGCACUGGGAAGGACGCUGCCCCACGCAGGGAAAAUGUGAUUGCUUAAGCUUCUAGAGAGAGAAUUGGGGGAACCCACAGGGCGCCCAUAUCGUGAUGGCUGCUAACACCACUGUUACAGCACAUAAGGAACUGUGCUGAGAAAAAUGAGACUUUAUCAUGGGACUUUGAAACUGGCACUUGUUUCUUGAGUCAGCGGCAUCCAGUUCCAUUCGUUCCAUUCUGUUGGGUACGGGGCGAUGCCCACCACAGGACACAAGUUGCUCUUUGGGCAUGGGUCUGUCUUUUCCCCCUGACUGCUGCAGUGGGGUGAGCGAGUUUGGGGACUUGGAUUUCAUGAGCUACGCCGAGGACCCGGUUGGCCAGGUGUGCACCACUGAAGAGGUCCUGUGAGUUUCUGCGGUUACGGUGGCAGAGCACGUCAUGUCUGAGAAGCCGGCAGCCCAGGUGCUGAGCAGGGACGCUGUCCCCAUGGAGCGCCCCCAGGAAACAGAGCUUUAUUUAAAGAUCUAGACGGAGAGGGGAGGUUUCUGACAAGCCUCUCAAACUGGUAUGCAUUACUCACUCUCUAAUUGAGUUACAAUUACAGAGCAUCAGAGAAGGCUUUUGGGCGAAUGUACGGAUCCCUAAGCCAGCCUGCCCUUUGCAAGGUCUGUGUGUUCCUGCUCUCCUUAAUAAGGCCUGACGGGAGCUGGCUGCCUUGCCUGUUUGAUAGUCUUCUAAUUAAAAUCCAGCAGUUCAAGUCCACUGCUGCUUGAUACUGUUUUUUUUUUUUUUUUUUUUUUUUUUUUUUUUUUUUUUUUUUUAGCUUUGUCCUAUUGCUUCUUUUUCUUUUUCCCUCCUAAGUGGUCUCCUCUGACACCCUGACAGCCUUGCAGGCUCCACCAGUCCCAGAAGACCUCCCUCCUCCUCUGCCCCUGCCUGCUGGUGACUGAGGCAAGAGCUGCGCGCAGAACAAGGGCUCUUUGUUUCUGCAGGGAGCGAGAGAGGAAGAAACACAGCUACUGGCGCUCGCUGCAGCUCUGUCAGCCAGAAUAUCUGGUCUGAGACGUUUUUUCAAAACUCCUACGGACACUGGCGAUUUCUUCUUUGGUGGACAGUCCCCAAGUGUGGACUUCCUCUGCUGUGCUAGGGCUUUAAGUGCUGAGUGUUCAAAGUUGCUAGGUAGGCAAGGAGGGCCAACAACAAAGCCUCAGUGACAAGUUCAGCUUUCGGGAGUUCAAUCACAGCCACAUUUCUAGAUUCCAUGAUUUCAAGCCAAUGCCAAGGUUAGCAGGUGCCUUAAGGGGUGGGCGUUAGGGGGCAGGUGUUUGGUGCAGUGCUGAGACGCAACAUCCACAUCGGAGGGCUUGGGUUCAAGUCCUGGCUCUGCGUCCAAUUCCAGCUUUUGCUAAUGCGGACCCUGGGAGGCGGCAGGGGAUGGCUCUAGUUCUUGGGCCCCUGCCACCCAGGUCGAAGACCCAGAUUAAGUUCCAGCUUCCUGGCUUUGGGUGUUGUGGCCGUUUAGGGAGUGAACCAGCAGUUGGAAGCUCUCUCUCUCCAGCAGUCUGUUUCCAUCUUUGAGUAACUUUUUUUUUAUUUAAUAAGGGUGUUGGAAGUGCCAUCUGUGGUUUCAGCAUCACUUGCUGUGAUUGAGCGGAGCCCUCUGGUUUGAAAACUGUCUCACAGUGGCAGGCUUCCCCGGCACUUUCCUGAUCAGAUCUGUGAUUCAUAAGGAAACAAGCCGAGCAGAUUUUGGAAUUAAUCCAUGUUCACCAUUGGAAUUUUAAAGAGUGGAGAAUAGCUUAAAGAAGAGAAUUCAGUGACCACACUCCCAGCUUCCUAAGAUGGCCUCUCUCAGCGUCUUGGGCGCCUCCUUGUAGUCGUGUAGUUUGCUGAGAGCCUACGCAGCUUCCAUUUUUCCAUCAACAUUGUUCAAGUGUGUGCUCAUGUCAUGCAAGUUCUUUCUGAGUUGUCUUAAAUGGUGGAGUCAUCGGCCAUUUCUCCGCCCCAGCUCAAUCAGCUCGCCAGUGCCACUCAUUUAUUUGCAUUUCCAUGUUAUUAGGAUUAGCAUUGUGAGAAAAGAUCUCUGGGCCAUGAUCCCCCAUUUGCCUUUAUUUUAGACUGACUCUCUAGAAGUAGAGUAUUGAACCAAGAAGAAAAUCUGAUACUAACGGCCGGCCACAGUGUACAUUUGAGGAUUAGCAUGAAAACACAAAGCUUCAGACCUCCUGGUGGAAAAGGAUGGGAGGAGGGAGGCUGGACUGUUACUUGUACUUGGGAAAUUAUCCUUUUAAGCUUUGACCUCUUGGGGGAGGGGAGAUUUUAGGGUUUUCCUUUUUUUCUUUAACUGCUAGUUUGUUUCCCCUCACCAUGUAUUAAAGCUAUUUAUUUUACACUAUUUAUUCCACUCACUUUUUGCCAGACCUGUGUUGGGGGAUGGUCUGUGAACAAGGUCAAAAUGACGCCCGCCUUGGUGGAGCUUACAGUCUGGUGUGAAAGACAUGUUAAGUAAUUAUAGGCAAAAUCAUGAUGGCGAUGGCUGCUCUGAGCAGGUGCGGGACGCAGUCAGAGCACAGAACAGGAGGGCCCAGGCUGGCCUGCCGCGACGGUUGGCAAACUGCAGUGCGCUGCCUGUUUUUACAAAUAAAGUUUUGUCAGAACACA